rnacentral:lncRNA from 1 species
GCUGAUGAUUGGGGGUUCAAGGUCAUCCUCAGCUGCACGAUAAGUUCAAGGCCAACCUGGGCUACCUGAACCCCUGUCUCAAAUAAAUAAAAUGAAACAACAAAAAAAGGGAUGUAGGAUGGCUCAGUAGGUGGAGGCACUGGCUGCCAUGCCUGACAGCCAGGCCCACUCGGUAAAAGGAAAGGACUGAUUCGCAAACACUAUAGCACAGAUAGAUAAAUAUAAGAAUUACUUUCUUAAAAAUUUUAAAGAAAUCCCAAGAAUGUGACCCUAGGAAACUAUAAGGAUUUAUUUAUCCAGCUAGCUAGCCUUCUGUUUAUCAAGUAUAUGAAUACUUUUGACUAUUUUUUUUAUUUUGAUUUGGCUUGGUUCAGUUUGUCAAGACAGGAUUUCCCCUUAGAGUCCCCAUUUGUCAAUGAGCACUGAGGACAAGUGAGAUAACAUCCUGUGGUACUUGCUCUCUCUCUCUCUCUCUCUCUCUCUCUCUCUCUCUCUCUCUCUCUCUCAGAUAAGCAAGAGUCUCAGCAUCCUUUGCAUCCUACCCCAUCAGGAAUCUUGCUAUAAUUUUCCCAUCCCCAUCU